rnacentral:rRNA from 1 species
GGAAUCACUGGGCUUAAAGCGUGUGUAGGCGGGUUGUUAAGUGUCGUGGGAAAUCCCACCGCUCAACGGUGGAACUGCUGGGCAUACUGGCGAUCUUGAGCCACCUAGGGGCAGACGGAACAAGCGGUGGAGCGGUGAAAUGCGUAGAUAUCGCUUGGAACGCCGACGGUGAAAACAGUCUGCUGGGGGUGUGCUGACGCUGAGACACGAAAGCCAGGGGAGCGAACGGG